CACGUAGGCACCGAGCGUUGUCCGGAAUUAUUGGGCGUAAAGAGCUCGUAGGCGGUCUGUCGCGUCGGCUGUGAAAUCCCGAGGCUCAACCUCGGGUCUGCAGUCGAUACGGGCGGACUGGAGUUCGGCAGGGGGAGACUGGAAUUCCUGGUGUAGCGGUGAAAAUGCGCAGAUAUCAGGAGGAACACCGGUGGCGAAGGCGGGGUCUCUGGGGCCGAUACUGACGCUGGAGGAGCGAAAAGCGUGGGGG
rnacentral:rRNA from 1 species